GACGAACGCUGGCGGCGUGCUUAACACAUGCAAGUCGAACGGAAAGGCCCUGCUUUUGUGGGGUGCUCGAGUGGCGAACGGGUGAGUAACACGUGAGUAACCUGCCCUUGACUUUGGGAUAACUUCAGGAAACUGGGGCUAAUACCGGAUAGGAGCUCCUGCUGCAUGGUGGGGGUUGGAAAGUUUCGGCGGUUGGGGAUGGACUCGCGGCUUAUCAGCUUGUUGGUGGGGUAGUGGCUUACCAAGGCUUUGACGGGUAGCCGGCCUGAGAGGGUGACCGGCCCCAUGGGGACUGAGAUACGGCCCGGACUCUUACGGGGGGCAGCGGGGGGGAUUAUGGCACAAGGGGCGGAGGCCUGAGGCAGCAACGCCGCGUGCGGGAUGACGGCCUUCGGUUGUAAACCGCUUUCGCCUGUGACGAAGCGUGAGUGACGGUAAUGGGUAAAGAAGCACCGGCUAACUACGUG
rnacentral:rRNA from 1 species